GCGGCGUGCAUAAGCCAUGCGAGUCGAGCGGUCCAGCUUGCUGGAUAGCGGCAAACGGCUGAGUAAUACGUAGGAAUCUACCCUUAACUCAGGAAUAAGCCGGGGAAACCUGGUCUAAUGCCUGAUGUGGUGGUAACACCAAAGAUUUAUCGGUUAAGGAUGAGCCUGCGGCCUAUCAGGUUGUUGGUGAGGUAAGAGCUCACCAAGCCUAUGACGGGUACCGGAGAUUAGCGUCUGUACCGGCAGAAGGGCACUGAGACACGGGCCCUACUCCUACGGGAGGCAGCAGUGAGGAAUAUUGCACAAUGGACGAAAGUCUGAUGCAGCGACGCCGCGUGAGGGAUGAAGGCCUUCGGGUUGUAAACUUCUGAAAAUAGCACCGGCUAACUACGUGCCAGCAGCAGCGGUCAUACGUAGGGUGCGAGCAUUGUCCGGAUUUAUUGGGCGUAAAGAGUUCUGUAGGCGGUUUCAUAAGUCAGGGGUUAAAUCCCUCCGCUCAACGGAGGAUCCGCUCUUGAUACUGUGGAACUUGAGACAACUAGGGGUUAGCGGAACUUAUGGUGGAGCAGUGAAAUGCGUUGAUAUCAUAGGGAACACCGAGGGGGAAGCCAGCUAACUGGGGUUGUUCUGACGCUGAGAGACGAAAGCGUGGGUAGCGAAACGGAUUAGAUACCCGUGUAGUCCACGCCGUAAACGAUGCCUGCUAGAUACCUGAUUUUAAUUGGGUGUCGAAGCUAACGCGUUAAGCAGGCCGCCUGGGAAGUACGGCCGCAAGGCUAAAACUCAAAGGAAUUGGCGGGGACCCGCACAAGCGGUGGAGCAUGCUCUUUAAUUCGUUGUUAACCGAAGAACCUUACCUGGGUUUGACAUGUAGCUUCAAGUUUGCCGAAAGGCAGACCUUCUUUGAGAGUGCUACACAGGUGUUGCAUGGCUGUCGUCAGCUCGUACCGUGAGGCGUACCCUUAAGUGGGUUAACGAGCGCAACCCCUACCGUUAGUUGUAUCACUCUAGCGGAACUGCCGUUGUAAGACGGAGGAAGGUGGGGAUGAGGUCAAGUCGGUAUUGCCUUUAUAUCCGGGGCUAGAAGCAUGCUACAAUGGCGCGUACAAUGGGCUGCGACAUCGCGAGAUGAAGCCAAUCCCUUAAAACGCGUCCCAGUUCGGAUUGGAGUCUGCAAUUCGACUCCAUGAAGCCGGAAUCGCUAGUAAUCGCUGGU
rnacentral:rRNA from 1 species